GAUGAACGCUGACAGAAUGCUUAACACAUGCAAGUCAACUGUGGCGGACGGGUGAGUAACGCGUAAAGAACUUGCCUCACAGAUAGGGACAACAUUUGGAAACGAAUGCUAAUACCUGAUACUGUGAGAGAGCUUUGCGUCCCAUUAGCUAGUUGGAGAGGUAACGGCUCACCAAGGCGAUGAGGGGUAGCCGGCCUGAGAGGGUGAUCGGGCACAAGGGGACCGGGAAACGGCCCUUACUCCUAAGGGAGGAAGCAGUGGGGAAGUUUGGACAAAGGGCCGAAGUUUGAUUCAGCAAUUCUGUGUGGACGAUGAAGUUUUCCGAAUGUAAAGGGGUUUCAGUUGGGAAGCGGUACCAACAGAAGAAGUGACGGCUAAAUACGUGCCAGCAGCCGCGGUAAUUC
rnacentral:rRNA from 1 species